rnacentral:rRNA from 1 species
UGGGGAAUUUUGGACAAUGGGCGAAAGCCUGAUCCAGCAAUGCCGCGUGUGUGAAGAAGGCCUUCGGGUUGUAAAGCACUUUUGUCCGGAAAGAAAUCCUUGGCUCUAAUACAGUCGGGGGAUGACGGUACCGGAAGAAUAAGCACCGGCUAACUACGUGCCAGCAGCCGCGGUAAUACGUAGGGUGCAAGCGUUAAUCGGAAUUACUGGGCGUAAAGCGUGCGCAGGCGGUUUGCUAAGACCGAUGUGAAAUCCCCGGGGCUCAACCUGGGAACUGCAUUGGUGACUGGCAGGCUAGAGUAUGGCAGAGGGGGGUAGAAUUCCACGUGUAGCAGUGAAAUGCGUAGAGAUGUGGAGGAAUACCGAUGGCGAAGGCAGCCCCCUGGGCCAAUACUGACGCUCAUGCACGAAAGCGUGGGGAGCAAAACAGGAUUAGAUACCCUGGUAGUCCACGCCCUAAAACGAUGUCAACUAGUUGUUGGGGAUUCAUUUCCUUAGUAACGUAGCUAACGCGUGAAGUUGACCGCCUGGGGAGUACGGUCGCAAGAUUAAAACUCAAAGGAAUUGACGGGGUCAUAGCUG